AAAAAAUUAGUUAAGUUUAUAACGUUAGGUUGUCAAUCUAAAAUCAUUUUAAAAUAAAUAUUUUUUA
rnacentral:tRNA from 1 species